ACGAACGCUGGCGGCGUGCUUAACACAUGCAAGUCGAGCGGUAAGGCCCUUUCGGGGGUACGACAGCGGCGAACGGGUGAGUAACACGUGGGUGACCUGCCCUCCAGCUCUGGGAUAAGCCUGGGAAACCGGGUCUAAUACUGGAUAUGACUCCAUGACGCAUGUUGUGGGGUGGAAAGACCUUGUGCGGCUGAGGAUGGGCCCGCGGCUAUCAGCUUGUUGGUGGG
rnacentral:rRNA from 1 species